CCCAAAUUGACAAACAUGAUUUCUGAUCUUGUCAAAUCAGUGUCAAACAGAGUAGCCGAGGAAGUGCUAUAGAGGUUUCGUUUGGGUAGAUGCUAGAUGAUAUGCGCGGUACGGAUAACUACGGAAUUCAGCUGUAUACAUUAUUAGUGCUUGAUGAUUUAAGAUAAAACUGUGGAAAUUGUAACUUCACUGAGGAAUUUGGGUGAUGGGAGACACUCCAUCCAUACUGAAGAAGCAGAGAAAAUAAAGGGGCAUUACUCGGCAUGACUCAGCAGGCCCUCUGUCAUCAGGGAUUUUGCCGUAAGUGACAGUCAGCAUCUAACAGUGAAGUGUUGACUGUGUGUGCUGAUUCUGAUCAUAUAGAGUGUGAGUAGUACGGAGAUGCUUCGUGAAGUCGAGUGUGAAUCCUUGGAGGGAUGACAAUAUCCUUUUCAUGGAACACUGUUGAGAAAAUUUAGAGAACCAGCGUUUGAAGCUGACUGCAAACUACUCUUCUGCUGCAAAUGAUAAAUGAUACAUGUUGUGUAAAGAUCACAAAGAUUUAACUAGUUCGUAGGGAAUCUGAGCAUGAGGUACAGACAUUUGUAACACUCUUCACAGACUGAAAGUACUACCAAAGGAUGCCGAUUUCAUUACGAGGGAUUGUCCUGUAUCACUUGCUUCCUGCAAUGAAAUACCCAAAAAUCUGCUUGAAGGGAACAAUAAGAAGUAUUAGAAGGGAAAACUAAAUACUGGAAGAACAGAAUAGAUAAAAAUUAUUGUAUCUAAUGUUUUUAGUGUAAAAAUGCUGGUGAGUUACAAAAUACAGAAAGGAAAUGGUGCAAAUCAAUUGCAUUCUAAUUUUCUUUCGUCAGAACACAUUUAAAAUUGAAUCACGAUAUUUUCUUGAAUAUGCUGGAGCCAUGUUAUAAAUGACUCUGCAUAUACCCUGUAUUAUUUAAAAUGUUUGUUGAUAAUAUGUAGUACCACUAAAAAUAAUAAAUAUCCAGAAAUAUAUUUUAUAUCCACUAGAAGUAACCCUGACAAUUAUUUAUACACAAACCCAUGACAGUGUCAAACUGUUAAAACUUAUGGUGUAGUUAUAAUUAGUUGACUCAGAAAACUGAUAAAUUUGAUUAUAAAGCACACUGCUAAGCAAGCUGUUAUGUAAAAGAUGCAAUGUCUGGACAAGAUAUAUCUGUAUAUGCAAGAAAGUGUUUCGCUCAG